rnacentral:lncRNA from 1 species
UUUAAAAAUGUUUUUAUUUAUUUUUGAGACAGAGAGAGACAGAGCAUGGGCAGGGGAGGGGCAGAGAGAGAGGGAGACACAGAAUCUGAAGCAGGCUCCAGGCUCUGAGCUGUCAGCACAGAGCCUGACAUGGGGCUCGAGCUCACGGACUGUAAGAUCAUGACGCGAGCUGAAGUCGGACGCUUAACCGACUAAGCCACCCAGGCGCCCCAAAGGCCCACAUUAUAGCCUCACCAUCCAGAGCAGGCAGGUCACCUUGGCACUCCUAGUCCCCAUCCGGCUCCCAGGCCCGGGAAAAGCAGAGCAGAGACAUGGAGGGGGCCUAGAACCAAAAGCGCAAGGCUCAAGCACCGCUCGAAUGUCCAACCAAACCCCAAGCCUGUGCUGCUCCUUUUAAGGAAGGGCCGCAGAAAGGAGUCUGCCAGACAUGGACUGGCCUAUAGCUGGAGGGAAUGCAGGACUAGGGGUGGAAGAAGAAGAGGCUGUCAGGAAAGGAGCCACAGAAACAAAGAUAAAGCCAGGAGAGCACAGGAGAGUUCCCAGCAGGAGGCGGGGAUGGUGAAGGGGCGGGCCCGGCCACGUUUGAGUAGCUCCAAGCAGGAUGGAACCAGUUCUGCAGAUGCUGCCCACUGUUCCGUGCCUGGGGCUCACCUCCAAGGAGUAGCGCCCAAUCUUCUCACACACAGGAUACUGCUCCCACCCUUCUUCACCAUGGCAAAACCCAGUCAUCGAGACUUGAACAUGAACUCCAUUUUCUCAGAGAACAACAGAAUCUGGCUAGAAUUUCCUUGCAAGUACACCCAAAUUCUAUAGAGAUUUCCAGAAAAUGAAUCCAUUUUGAGACUGCCCUGGAGAAGCAGACAAAAAC